rnacentral:rRNA from 1 species
AUUGAACGCUGGCGGCAUGCUUUACACAUGCAAGUCGAACGGCAGCGGGGGCUUCGGCCUGCCGGCGAGUGGCGAACGGGUGAGUAAUGCAUCGGAACGUGCCCAUGUCGUGGGGGAUAACGUAUCGAAAGGUACGCUAAUACCGCAUACGUCCUUAGGGAGAAAGCGGGGGAUCUUCGGACCUCGCGCGAUUGGAGCGGCCGAUGUCGGAUUAGCUAGUAGGUGAGGUAAAGGCUCACCUAGGCGACGAUCCGUAGCGGGUCUGAGAGGAUGAUCCGCCCCACUGGGACGGGGACACGGCCCAGACUCCUACGGGAGGCAGCAGUGGGGAAUUUUGGACAAUGGGCGCAAGCCUGGUCCAGCCAUGCCGCGUGAGUGAAGAAGGCCUUCGGGUUGUAAAGCUCUUUCGGCCGGGAAGAAAUCGGCGACUCUAACAUAGUCGCUGGAUGACGGUACCGGACUAAGAAGCACCGGCUAACUACGUGCCAGCCGCCGCGGUAA